UGUACUCUAUCUAAAAAAAAAGAGGAAAAAUCCUCUGAACGAGGGCCUGGGGUGAGUUCUCGGAGUGCCAUCGUGCCUCCGUCCAAUGGGCUCCACGCGCUCACGCGCCACUGUCAAUGCCGUCACAUACGGCGGCCGGAAGCCAAAAAACCUCAUCGUUUACCCCGCAUUAAAAGGUGAGCGCGAGGAUCUCGGUGGCGAGACAAGAUUGAGGCGUGGCGUGCUGAUGAUGGCGACGAUCUCGGCGUUGUUUGCGCGCCGAUGGUGGCGCGACAUCCAGUAGCUGAGGUCAAGGAGAAAGUCGUGGCACUGGUAGAGCCUUGACAUGAGGCCAACAGACGCUCCCCGAAAGUUCUAGAGUUUUGUGAAACGAAAGGGCGCUUAUUGGACAUGACGUUUGAGGCGUCUGAAGCUUCCAAAAUCCUUUGCGGCUUGAGGAGAAAGAGAGCUAGGGUUUCUAACCCUAUCUGAAAGUCAUUUGGGCCCCUAUUGUUUGGGCCUUCGAGUUUAUUGGUAUUAGGUGGGUCUGUUUGGGUCUGCUGUAAUGGGUCUGGUUUAGGUUUGGGCUACGGGUGCAUUUGGGUACACGGUUAGUGGGAUUUGGUUUUGAAGGUUUUAAAUAUUGGGCCUACGGGUUAAUUUUUUUGGGCUCUGUAUAUGGACUUUUAAAUGGACAUUUUAAAUAAAUAAAUAUUUAUUUAUUUAA